CAGGAUUUUGUAUCAACCAAAGAGCUCACCCGAAAGAACACCACCAUUAGUGCUUGCGAGUGUGUUUGUUUCCAACGAAAAUUUUGCGGGAAAUGUAAUGUAAUUUUCCUAUAGCCGAAGCACCAUUUUUCUUUUCUACCUCUUGUUUUUCCAAGACAAAAAAAAGAAUUUUAUUUAUUUAUUUUAUGUUUUAUGAGGUCGAGUAUGAUGGAAAAAUCAACAUUGUAAAUGCUUUAAUGGAAGUCAUUAGGGUUUAAGAGCUGGGAAAAUUACAUUUAAUACUUGAACUUCCUUCUUUUUUUUUUGGCACUGCGAUUCUUCUGUCUGUAUAUCAAGCUAAUAUGGAGUAGUUUUGGGGCUCUGAUUGAGGAGAAGCGAGAUUAUGAGGUUGGAGGUUGAAGAAUAUUCUGAGAGCUUUUGAUGAAAAGUAUAUUCUAAGAGCUUAAUAUUCGUAGUUGAAUAUUAAUGCCCAGUUGGAUUGAGAUGUUCUUUUUGGUGCUCUAAGCAUCAAACUUCUGGUCCACAGAUGGCUUCCGAGUGAAGACAUAAAGUUGGAUUGAAAUCAAUGACCUGUGUUCAGUGGUUAAUUUCUGGAGCCAAAAUAGCCACGAGAAACUUCUGGCCUCUACAUAAAGAAGGAUGGAAGAUGAUUCUGAUAUGAACAUAAAGAAAGAAGUUGAAGUGUCAACUCGUAAUGAGGGAGUUGAUGAUGACAGAGUAGGUGAACGGAGUGUACCAGGGUUGGGAGAUGAAGAAGUAGAACCUCCGGCUGUUGGAAUGGUGUUUUCCUCUGAAGAUGAAGUACGGAAUUAUUAUUCGAAAUAUGCUCAACAUGAAGGCUUUGGUGUUUAUCGGAGAAGCUCAAGGUGCGGGGAUGAUGGAAAAGUCAAAUACUUUACACUUGCUUGUGCUAAAGCCGGUAAAGUUCGUGGAAGCAAUGGAAAUAAUAGGUUUCCUUGGAGACAGUCACCUAAAACAAACUGCAAAGCUAAGAUUAAUGUUGCAGUAGAGUCUCAUACACGGGUCUAUGUUUGUCAUGUCGUCCUUGAACAUAAUCAUGAACUAAGUCCAGGAAAGGUACAUCGAAAUAUAUGCAAGAAAAGUGGGAUUCGUCGAGUGCAUAAAAGACGUGAAGGGAAAGAGCAGGUAGGAUCUACAAUACUCGAGCUCUUGCAUCCAACCGCUGGAAAAAAGCUGGGGUGUGAAAAUUUAAUGUCAGGGGAAGGAGGCUCUUGUUCUGAUCAACUAAGCAAUGGUGACUGUCAUAUUCUAUUCCAUGAUGUUGGCCAUUCUUCAGGUGAAAAUGUGUUCCCUCAUCUCAGCAAAAGUCCGGUGUCUGGAAUUUCUCAAAAUUUAAUAACCAAUGCAGUCCAAGAAGCUUUAAAGUCUGCCCUUGUAAAGAGGGCUGUUGGACUUGUGAAAUCUGGAAUGGUGAUUGGGCUGGGAGCAGGAAGGACUUUAUCUCUUAUUGUAGAGGAGCUUGGAACACUAAUUAGAGAAGGGAAGUUGAAAGGCAUUGUUGUAGUGGGAACAAACUACCAAUCAAGAAGUGUAGCUAGACAGUUUGGUGUAACAACUGUUGAUUUGAAUGAUGUUCACAACAUUGACAUUGCCUUUGAUGUUGUGGAUGAAGUGGACUUCAAUAAGAAUAUGUUAAAGGGCAGUGGAGCUACUCAUACUGUGCAGAAGGUGGUUUAUUCCAUGGCAGAUAUGUGUGUUAUAUUGGCAGAGCAUGCAAAGGUUGUUCAUCGCCUUGGUAGCAAAAAUCCAGUCGCGGUUGAAGUUCUUCCUAUUGCUGUCACACCUGUUCUAAGGCGUCUUGUUGCUCUUGGAGGAGUUCCUGAGAUUCGGUCUGCCUUGAGGAAGGAUGGUCCAGUGAUCACUGACCUUGGUAAUAUGAUCGUAGACGUGGGGUAUGCUUCUAUGGCCUCUAUACCUCUUAGUUUGCUCUGGGUGGAAGUUAGAUCCAGAACUAAAUAGAAUAAGCUUUCCCAAUGGAAUACAGAACCCAGCUGAGCUUGAGAAAAACAUCAAUGUGAUACCUGGUGUGGUUGAUAACGUUUGAACCCUGCAAUCUUGUGGCUUAUGGUUCGCAAAUUCAUUCUCAUCUUCUUUCAUGGAGUUGUUACCGGGGUUGCAACAGCUGUGUUGGUUGCUUUCAGAAAUGGUGGUGAUGUGAGCGUGAUGAAUUUGGAGAAGUUUGUAGAAGUUGUACUGGGUCAUCGAUGCUCAAGUUUUGUCUUGUAAAUGUUUCCUUU